rnacentral:tRNA from 1 species
GUGGAUGUAGCACAGUGGUAGAGCACUUGCCUAGCCUGUGUGAGGCACUGGGUUAGAUUCUCAGCACCACA